rnacentral:rRNA from 1 species
GAAUUAUUGGGCGUAAAGAGCGUGUAGGCGGUUCGGUAAGUCUGCUGUGAAAACCCGGGGCUCAACCCCGGGCGUGCAGUGGAUACUGCCGGGCUAGAGGGCGGUAGAGGCGAGUGGAAUUCCUGGUGUAGCGGUGAAAUGCGCAGAUAUCGGGAGGAACACCAGUAGCGAAGGCGGCUCGCUGGGCCGUUCCUGACGCUGAGACGCGAAAGCUAGGGGAGCGAACAGGAUUAGAUACCCUGGUAGUCCUAGCCGUAAACGAUGGGCACUAGGUGUGGGGGGAGUCGAAUCUCUCCGUGCCGCAGCCAACGCGUUAAGUGCCCCGCCUGGGGAGUACGGCCGCAAAGCUAAAACUCAAAAGAAUUGACGGGGGCCCGCACAAGCAGCGGAGCAUGUUCUUUAAUUCGAUGCAACGCGAAGAACCUUACCUGGGCUUGACAUGGCGCUGCAAGCGCACGGAAACGUGUGACCUUCGAGGGUGCGCCACAGGUGCUGCAUGGCUGUCGUCAGCUCGUG